ensembl:miRNA
GGUUGGUGCAAAAGUAAUUGCAGUUUUUGCCAUUACUUUUAAUGGUAAAAAACCGUAAUUACUUUUGCACCAAUCUAAUA